CACGAAUUCGUGUGAGCUAACUCAUUUAAGCGACUAUGUAGCAUAAUACUUCUCAAACUUGAGUUAGGGGUGAAAGGCUUCUCAAAAACGACGAUAUCUUGACGUAAACGAAAUAGAUUGAGUCUUAAGUUGAUUACAAAGUUAUAAGAUUUUGUAAAAGGUUCAAUAUUUAUGUUGUGCGGAUGUGGGCAUAAAAACCUACAUGAUGUAAUACUAAUAUAGAGAUAGUAGAGCUUAUUUAAGUAGUUUACGGUAACGUAACUAAAGGAUAAUCAUUAUGUUAAUAUAAGUACUUAGAAGAUAUUAAUAGUGAACUCGGCAAUAAAGCUUUCAACUGUUUAUCAAAAACAUAGCCAUAUGUCUCACCUAUGGUGUAUUCUGCUCAAUGAUGUUUAAAUAGCCGCAGUACCCUGACUGUGCAAAGGUAGCAAAAUCAUUUGUCUUUUAAUUGGAGUCGCGUAUGAACGAAUGCAUGGGGGCUUACUUUACCAUUAGUAUGACACGAAAUUGCUUAAGAGGUGAAAAAACCUUUAUUUAAAUAAUAGACGAGAAGACCCUUGAAAUUUGUAAAAUAGUUUUGUUGGGGCAACAUUGUAGCUAAACCUAUAAAAUAUACGCGAAAUUUUUCUUGCUUGAUUAAAUUACUCUAGGGAUAACAGCAUAAUUUUUGAAAGUUUGUGACCUCGAUGUUGGAUUAGGGAACUAUAACCUAAAA
rnacentral:rRNA from 1 species